rnacentral:rRNA from 1 species
UACGAAGGGGGCUAGCGUUGUUCGGAUUUACUGGGCGUAAAGCGCAUGUAGGCGGGUCGUUAAGUUGGGGGUGAAAGCCCGAGGCUCAACCUCGGAACUGCCUUCAAAACUGGCGACCUGGAGCAUGAUAGAGGCGAGUGGAAUUCCGAGUGUAGAGGUGAAAUUCGUAGAUAUUCGGAGGAACACCAGUGGCGAAGGCGACUCGCUGGAUCAUUGCUGACGCUGAGGUUCGAAAGCUCGGGGAGCAAACAGG